UGUAAACCCUAGAAAUUGAAAAAGUUGGAUCGUCACAUUAGCCAUUACAAAGUGUAACGUGGUUGCGUAAAUUUAGCCGAAUUUACCAUCAUUUCUUUAACUUCCUGGUUCGAUCGGUUGAUCAGCUUAACCAGAUUUCAGCGCGUGUGGGAGUAAAAAGCCACGAAAGAGGGCAUAAUUUGUCACCAGAUUUACCAUAAUUAAAGCCACUUAGCGACCAGCGAAUUUAACCCGUGAGCAACAAGAGCAUUUGUGUGAGGAAAAGGUGAUAAAGGGCAAACUAUUCAUUUUUAAGCUACUACCAGAAAAGUUGCUGUAAAAAUUCAGUUUGUUCUGAGGUCCGAACAAUCAG